rnacentral:rRNA from 1 species
UACGUAGGUGGCAAGCGUUAUCCGGAUUUAUUGGGCGUAAAGCGAGCGCAGGCGGUCGCUUAGGUCUGAUGUGAAAGUCUUCGGCUUAACCGAAGAAGUGCAUCGGAAACCGGGCGACUUGAGUGCAGAAGAGGACAGUGGAACUCCAUGUGUAGCGGUGGAAUGCGUAGAUAUAUGGAAGAACACCAGUGGCGAAGGCGGCUGUCUGGUCUGCAACUGACGCUGAGGCUCGAAAGCAUGGGUAGCGAACAGG